GGCUGCAGAGCGGGGUCCUCUUUGGUGGCGCCCACAAGCCAUCUGGGGCUACGAGGGAAAGACAACUCUGAGACGCAUAGAGCCGGCCAUCGCGCACAAUGUCCUCUACCAGUUGCUCAUAGUCCUCUGCAAAGUCAACCACGGGAAGAAGCUCAGGGGUGGGAACUGCACCUGUUCCGCUUGCUGCCCCUCCAGACCCGUGAGCCUCCCGUUUCUCACCCACCUCCCUGGCUCUCCUGCCCUUGCUCACCGUCGUAGGUGACAUAGGGGAUCUGGAAGCCACGUGCACUGUUGGCCUCGCUGGUCUUGAAGUUGAUCCAGAGCUUCCUGGAGCGGGCUGUAAAGGCGAUGGGGCGCUCGUACGUCUGGCAGGUCUCAUAGGUGGUAAUGGAGGAUGGGGAGGCUGGGAAGGCAAGCAGCUAGUCAAGAGAGCAGCAAGGCAGGCCGCCCAAGCCGCCCUGGAAUGAGGGCCGUGGGAGAGAGGGUCAUGCCGACAGGCUGUCCCCUGGGCAUGCACCGCCCCACCCCACCCUCCACAUACACACCCAGUCUCCCACCAGCCUGGACUCACUCCACAACCCUAUCUGACAGCCAGGCACUCACAUGGUGAAUGAUGUCUGACAUUUAAAUGAACGGAACAGCAAAAACUCUCAAACAGGAAAGUGGCACAUCUAACACUACUGGAGUUCUAGCCCCAGGGCUGGCUUUAACUCUGCUCUCCACAGGAUGGGCGGCAUCAUCGCUGUGUCCCUCCGUUAGCGCUCCCCCUCCCAAGGCCUCCCUCGCCACUGCCCCAGUCCUUCCUGUACCAGUUUCCUCUCUCCCCCUCCCAGCCGGAUUUGGACCGCCCUUCCCUGGUCCAGCUCUGCAGCCACCCACAGUUCUUUCUCAUGACGAGGACGUCCCCACACUCGUCCUCAGAUGGCAGGAAGAUCUCGGGUACCACGAUAAGGAUCUUGCGCUUGGGUGGGGGGUUGAUGUUCCAGACGCACUCCACGCCAGCUGGGUAGUUGCCUGGGUAGUUGGGGGACUCGAUAUAGCCGGUGAACUCACCCAGCUCCCCACCACACUGACGAUCUGCAGCCAAGCACCAGUGGACAGGGCAAGAAAGAGAGGGAAAUCAGUGGGGUAUGGGUGGAGAAACUGAAGGGUUCUGAGUGGAAAUCAGACACCUCAUCUGUUCUCCACGUUCUGGGGCCACCAUCCCUCCUGCCCUUUUAGUACCUUCUCAUCUCCCCUCACCUGUCUUUGCCUCCCCAUUACCUGUCUCCAGGGAGAAGAUGCUACAGGGCCCAGCCCAGCAAACGGUCUGGAGACUGACUGAGUUGGGGGGAGAGGGAGGGUGAGCCUUUCCUGCCCAUCUCCUUCUCAGCCCUGCUCCCUGGUGGCUGACUUCCUCUGCCCUGCUUCUCCCUAUGCCCACGUCCCUCAGGCCUCUCUACCCAUUUUCUGUAGCCGGCCUGCCACAUACUCUUGCACUGGGCCACGCUGGUGGAGCCAUCAAAGUCAGUGCUGGUGUUUCCUGGACAGCGGGUGCAGAAGUUCUGACGGAAGUCGGGCUGAUAGGACCCCAUGGCACAGCGGAUGCAGCGAUGGAUACUGGUGUUGUAGUAGUGCCCAGGGGAGCAUUGGACUGCAGGAGGGGGAGAGGUGGGCACUAAGGCGGCAGGCACGUGGGAGUUCUGGGGUGUGGGAUGGGCAGGAUACGUUCAUCCUGGACACCAAAGCUCCUUCCAAAGUCCAGCCUUUCCUAGUCAUGCCAGACCUUAAGGCCAGGGGAAAGCAAACUCGACAGAGCGGUUGCCACAGUGCCAACCCUUCUUUCCCACGCAUGGAGCAGUGCUGAGCCUGUACAGACACUGUGUAUAGGGUUGAGGGGAAAGUGCCGCCAGCUCUCUGAAGCAGAGGGGUAAUCAGCAUGACUGUUUAUUUAUUUAAAUUUUUAUUGAUUGAUUUUUAGACGGAAAAGAGAGGAAAAAAACACUGAUUUGUUGCUCUGCUUAUUCAUGCAUUCGUUGGUAAGUGCCCUGACUGGGGAUGGAACCCACAGCCUUGGCAUACGAGGACGAUGCUCCAACCGACUGAGCUGCCCAGCUAGGGCCUUGGCACUGUUAUUAGUCCCCAACUCCCAGGCUUAUGGCUUUCGGCAGGUCAGGAUGGGUCCUAUAAGCAAAGUGUUGGUAGUGGCAGCUGGGCCUUUCUUGGUUCAGGGAAGAUGACGGUGCAACAGACCUGGGUCUACUCUGGGGACCAGGAGGGUGCCCUAGUGGGGUGAGUAGCCCACUCACCUUUGGUAUCACAGUCUUGGAAGGAGAUGGCCCCCUCGUGCUUGGUGGUGAGGCCCCCGCCACAAGGAAAGCACAGAGUCCGUCCUGCUUCGGGUUGGUAGGUGCCACGUGGACAUGGCUGGCAGGGCUUGAACCCAUCUACAGAGUGUUGGCCAGGUGAGCACUGACCUGCAAUGAACCAAGGGCCCAACUCUGAUGGGGAUGGUCCUGGUCAUCCCUUUGGGGUCACCCAGUAUCAGGGAACAGAGGCACACAAACAGGAUAUUGACUAGGAGAGUGGCCUGGAGCCUGGGCCUGCCCUUGGGCAAUCCCAUGGCCAUGGGCGUCCCAGUGCCCACCCUACCCCACUGUGCAUUGUUUGUUCCCCUGGCACCUGCACACGUGGUGAUGUUGGUGGCUCCAAGAGGCCCCUGGGCAUCACUCCCAGGGCAAAGGUCGCAGGAGAGCUGCCCUUCUCUCUCCUGGAAGGUGCCCGCUGGGCAUGGCACACACUGCUCCGUCUGGCCGUGGUAAUACGUCCCCUGCGGGCAGCUGACUGAGGGAGAGUCGGCCGCGCUAGCCACCCACCCCACCCCCUAUUUCCCACCACCCAGGCCUGGGACUCCCCUUCCCACUUCCCCAGAUUUAAGCAGAAUCUCUUUGGAAACAGACAAAAUCCUGCUCAGAAGAAUCAGAGGCCAAAGCCAUGUGCAGGAGGACUGGUGGUGCCACCUGUCUUCUAGAUUGCAGCCUGGGGCCAAGGAGCAGAGGAUGAUGGGCGGGAGGGUCUUGGCUGCCUCACAAUUUGAGAGAUGCAACCGAGGCCAUAAAGUAUUCUGCUCUGAGCCAGGCCCAAGCCAGGCCUUUCCCACUCCCAUACUCUCCUAUAUCCCAGCAAGCUCCCUUACCACACUUGGCCCCAGUGCGGUGCUGCCCGGGCCUACAGGUCUCCACCAGCUCGGCUCGCUCUCCAGCUGCAGGGCCCGGUUUGUGGGCCAGCUCAUAAUCAAGGCCUGCCAAGCGCAGGAGGAAGCGGUCCUGGUUGAUGGACUUUCUAAGCAUCUUCAGGGACCCUUUCAGCCGUCGUUCCAUCCGCUGUCGGAGGCAGGGCAGCCCACAGCCAGCUGGUAGCAGAUGGUGGUGUGAAGUCAGAGGAGAGAAAGUGGCUGUCAGCAGGAGGGAACUGAAGCCAGGAGCUAGAGAUCUCUGACUGCAACUAUCUCAAUGCUCUUUGAGUCUCGGAUGCUAAUUAAUUGGUGUGGAGAACACCCUGGAACCUCCUUGAGCUCUAUUCCUACAAUCUGCUUUUGCCCCUGCUCUUUCUAGAGUUCAAGGUACUAGUGGGGUUUUUGAGAUCUCACUAAGCAGAAGAGCUGAGGGCUGGGAAGGGUUUGGUGGGCAGACAGCCUACUAGAGUGGGGUCCCCAGUCCAAACCUGGC